rnacentral:antisense_RNA from 1 species
GUUUAUGGCGGACGUGUCGGGCAGGCUUCGGCCUGGCCGGGUUUGGUAUUGCAGCCGGUUUUCUACCCCGACACGUCCGCCACCUCG